AUUGAACGCUGGCGGCAGGCCUAACACAUGCAAGUCGAGCGGAGCGGCGGACGGGUGAGUAAUGCCUAGGAAUCUACCCGGUGGUGGGGGAUCACGCCCGGAAACGGACGCUAAUAACGCAUAAGUUCAGAUGAGCAUCGGUCGCAUUAGCUAGUUGGUGGGGUAAAGGCCUACCAAGGCGACGAUCCGUAGCUGUGCUGAGAGGAUGAUCAGUCACACUGGAACUGAGACACGGUCCAGACUCCUACGGGAGGCAGCAGUGGGGAAGAUUGGACAAUGGACGAAAGCCUGAUCCAGCCAUGCCGCGUGUGUGAAGAAGGUCUUCGGAUUGUAAAGCUCUUUAAGUUGGGAGGCGUUACCAAAAGAAUAAGCACCGGCUAACUUCGUGCCAGCCGCCGCGGUAAUUC
rnacentral:rRNA from 1 species